GGAGCCGUUCGAGAGACAGCUGGCUUAAACCAAAAGUAAAAGCAAAUUAAACCAGAGACCUCGGCCGAGGAAUGAGUAAACUAAAUCAAGGAUUAAAGCUUAAAGCAACAGGACAUUAAAUCAAGUGCCGAGACCUGCGCAGACGACUACCCGACGUCCUGCCCGAGUCACGGUGACACAUCUCCCUGGAGCCUUAUGCUGCUUAACCAGCCUUCUUGAGCCACACCACACCCAUGGUGGAUUUUGACCCCUGCCAAACAGACUGCAACUGCUGACAGCCAUGCACAGAACCCCAUGACUGCGAAAGAGGCUCUUCUCGGUCUAGAGAAACAUACACCAGCCAAAUAGACUGCAUCCAGUGUUAUACAAGGCAUGCUCCAAGACACAGGAGAAUGACUUCAUACAGAGACACCAACAAAUGGCUGUCAACCCCUUCUCCUUGAUUUUGGUGGGGGGAGUUUUUCCCUUACCUAAUGCCCCUUUUGGGUCCCCUAGCUGACCUAUUGUUUCUCAUUUCUGUGAGUCUUGUAUUUUUCAGAGGAUUAUGAUGUUCAUUAAUAACUGGAUAGACACAUUUAUGGCAAAGCCCAUUCAGGUACACUAUCAUCAGCUGGAGUUGGCAGAUCAACAAACCUACAGGGAAGGAAUUCCCACGAGUGGCCCAUAUGAUGAUGCGGCCUGACUGCCCUGGGGCAAUGGACAGGCAGUCAGAGACGGGCAACUAGGACAUGCAUGUUAAUUCCAACGGCCGCCUAAGACAGACACAGGACCAACUGCUGUUCUACAAGCCCAUGACGGGUAAGGCCUGGUUGGGUUCAUACAAUGAGGUCCUUGACCUAAGACAGACGCUGUCCUCACAGGGCCUGCCAUACUCUUAAUUAAAUAAUAUAAAAAGGGAGGAGAUGUAGGGAGCCGAGUGACAGGCAUUGGUGCCUAGAUGUCUCUCUCUCUCUCUCCUAUGGGCACUGCGUCUGCCUACAUUAACCAUAAUCCUCUUCUGCUUACGUCACUUAUCCGGAUGUGAUGGUAACCCUGUUGUAUUCAUCUGUUUAACCUCUUCCUGUCCCAGCUCCCGCCCUUAGCCUAUAAAAGGUGUGAUUAUUUUCUCAAUAAACCGGAGGCUUGAUUGGGUUAACAUCAA